rnacentral:rRNA from 1 species
CCUACGGGAGGCAGCAGUGAGGAAUUUUCCGCAAUGGGCGAAAGCCUGACGGAGCAAUACCGCGUGAGGGAUGAAGGAUUUUGGUCUGUAAACCUCUUUUCUCAAGAAAGAAGUUCUGACGGUACUUGAGGAAUAAGCAUCGGCUAACUCCGUGCCAGCAGCCGCGGUAAUACGGGGGAUGCAAGCGUUAUCCGGAAUCAUUGGGCGUAAAGCGCCUGUAGGUUGUUUAAUAAGUCUGUUGUUAAAGACUAGGGCUCAACCCUAGAAAAGCAAUGGAAACUACUAGACUAGAGUAUGGCAGGGGUAGAGGGAAUUUCUAGUGUAGCGGUGAAAUGCGUAGAUAUUAGAAAGAACACCAGUGGCGAAAGCGCUCUACUGGACCAUUACUGACACUCAGAGGCGAAAGCUAGGGUAGCAAAAGGGAUUAGAUACCCUAGUAG